rnacentral:rRNA from 1 species
CCCUUAGACACUCUAGGCGGCACGCGCGCUACACUGGGUGGAAGAACGUGUUACUGCCAUCGAAAGGUGGGGUGAAUCACGAAUUCUUGCCCGUGAAUGGGAUAGUUUGUUGCAAUUUUCGGACUUGAACUAGGAAUCCCUUGUAAGCAUGCUCAAGAGUAGCGUGUUGAAUACGUCCCUGCCGUUUGUACACACCGCCCGUCGUUUCUUCCGACUGAUACUCAUUGUGAGUUGCAAGGAUCCUUCAUUGGAGAAUUGCCGCGAAUGCCUUGUAUUGGAGGAAGAAAAAGUCGUAACA